UUAGUACUCCCUCUGUCCCAAAAUUCUUGUCUUAGAUUUGUCUAAAUACGGAUGUAUCAUGUCACAUUUUAGUAUUAGAUACAUCCGUAUCUAGACAAAUCUAAGACAAGAAAUUUGGGACGGAGGGAGUAAUUU
rnacentral:pre_miRNA from 1 species